rnacentral:rRNA from 1 species
UGGGGAAUAUUGGACAAUGGGCGAAAGCCUGAUCCAGCCAUGCCGCGUGUGUGAAGAAGGUCUUCGGAUUGUAAAGCACUUUAAGUUGGGAGGAAGGGCAUUAACCUAAUACGUUAGUGUUUUGACGUUACCGACAGAAUAAGCACCGGCUAACUCUGUGCCAGCAGCCGCGGUAAUACAGUGGGUGCAAGCGUUAAUCGGAAUUACUGGGCGUAAAGCGCGCGUAGGUGGUUUGUUAAGUUGGAUGUGAAAGCCCCGGGCUCAACCUGGGAACUGCAUCCAAAACUGGCAAGCUAGAGUACGGUAGAGGGUGGUGGAAUUUCCUGUGUAGCGGUGAAAUGCGUAGAUAUAGGAAGGAACACCAGUGGCGAAGGCGACCACCUGGACUGAUACUGACACUGAGGUGCGAAAGCGUGGGGAGCAAACA